rnacentral:rRNA from 1 species
ACAUGCCUACAACGUAGCAUUAAUGCAUGGGAUCCCAUUAGAACUCUGCAGUUAAGCAUGCUCACGCUAGAGAAGUACUGGGAUGGGUGAUCGCUCGAGAAGUCCUAGUGUUUUACAUGCC